UAAUACGAGUGGCCCAAGCGUUAUCCGGAAUUAUUGGGCGUAAAGGAUGUGUAGGUGGUUCUGUUAGUCUGGUGUCUAACCUCUGAGCUUAACUUGGAGACAGCAUUGGAAACGGCAGGGCUAGAGUAUGUUAGGGGUAAGCGGAACUAAUAGUGUAGGGGUGAAAUCCGUUGAUAUUAUUGGGAACACCAAAAGCGAAGGCAGCUUACUGGAACAUUACUGACACUGAAACAUGAAAGCGUGGGUAGCGAAUGGG
rnacentral:rRNA from 1 species